UACGUAGGGUGCUAGCGUUGUCCGGAUUUCUUGGGCGUAAAGGGCUCGUAGGCGGCGUGUCGCGUCGGGAGUGAAAGCCCGGGGCUUAACUCCGGGUCUGCACUCGAUACGGGCAGGCUAGAGUGUGGUAGGGGAGAUCGGAAUUCCUGGUGUAGCGGUGAAAUGCGCAGAUAUCAGGAGGAACACCGGUGGCGAAGGCGGAUCUCUGGGCCAUUACUGACGCUGAGGAGCGAAAGCGUGGGGAGCGAACAGG
rnacentral:rRNA from 1 species